AUAUUUUUUGCCCUGGGCUUUGAGAUACUGCUUCAACUUGAGCUUUUGGGGAACUAAUUAGUGUUUCAACAGUGAGUAUCUUUUCCCUUCAAUUUAUCUACUAAAUUUUGAAUAUAAGAGUUCUUCUUUUUAGUUCUAGAAAGUCCUUUGCUGUAAUUUUUUGUUCAAGUUCUAUUUCCUAGAAGUUGCCUGUUCUGUGUAUUCUGCUUGUUGUUUCUAUCUGGCUGUUAGUCUUCCUGAGUGCAGCGUUAUAUAAUUUUGCCUUCACAUGGCUUUAUGCACCCUUGGGACUCAGAUCUACUUCCUUAGUGUGCUUUCAGCAGCAGCCAUUCAGUGAGCAAUAAGAAGACACAUACACGGCUGGGUGCGCUGGCUCAUGCCUGCAAUCGCAGCGCUUUAAGAGGCCAAGGCAGGUGGAUCACUUGAGGUCAGGAGUUCGAGACCAGCCUGGCCAACAUGGUGAAACCCCCGUCUUAAUAUAGAAAAAUUAGCCAGGUGUGGUGAUGUGUGCCUGUAAUCCCAGCUACUCAGAAGGCUGAGGCAGGAGAAUCUCUUCAGCCCAGGAGGCGGAGACUGCAGUGAGCCGAGAUUGCACCACUGC
rnacentral:lncRNA from 1 species